GGGAAUAUAUCUUAGUGGUAGAGUGCUUGCCUAGCAUGCAUGGAGACCUAGGUUCAAUUCCUCAGUCCCA
rnacentral:tRNA from 1 species